GGCAAUAACAGGUCUGUGAUGCCCUUAGAUGUUCUGGGCCGCACGCGCGCUACACUGUUGCAUUCAACGAGCCUAUCCUUGGCCGAGAGGUCCGGGUAAUCUUUGAAACUGCAACGUGAUGGGGAUAGAUUAUUGCAAUUAUUAGUCUUCAACGAGGAAUGCCUAGUAAGCGCGAGUCAUCAGCUCGCGUUGAUUACGUCCCUGCCCUUUGUACACACCGCCCGUCGCUCCUACCGAUUGGGUGUGCUGGUGAAGUGUUCGGAUUGGUUUUAGUUGAUGGCGACAUCGGCUAUUACUGAGAAGAUCAUUAAACCCUCCCACCUAGAGGAAGGAGAAGUCGUAACAAGGUUUCCGUAGGUGAACCUGCGGAAGGAUCAUUGAAUCUAUCAAUACCAACACUGUGAACUAAACUGUCUGGCCUCCCGUUUAAUCGGGGCGCAAUGGCUGCAUUAACUUGCAACCUGAGCGGGCCUACUGACCUCUCGGGGUCAGUAGGUUGGUCUCUAUCAACAUUAACACCAAACAAAACCAAUCUAAAGUUGAAAUGCAGUCGGCCUGGCCGCUGUAUCCAACCAAAGACAACUGUGUACAACGGAUAUCUUGGCUCUCGUAACGAUGAAGAACGCAGCGAAAUGCGAUACGUAGUGUGAAUUGCAGAAUUCCGUGAACCAUCAAAUCUUUGAACGCAUAUUGCGCUCAAGGCUUCGGCCGAGAGCAUGUCUGCCUCAGCGUCGGGUUAAUAUCACUCCAAUCAACCUUGUGUUGAAUGAAGUGGAUCUGGCUGUUCCAAUACGUCAUGAGCUUGCUCGUGGUUUAACGUGAUGGAUCAGCUGAAGUGCAGAGGCUAAUGCAAGGACCCUUAUGGGCCGCAACUGGGUAGGCAGCUCACGCUUGCUAUUUCUAGUUGUUGGCUUGGACCAUGUGUUUGCCCUCAAACAGGAAUUAACCUUAUUUUCUCGACCUGAGCUCAGGCAAGAACACCCGCUGAACUUAAGCAUAUCAAUAAGCGGAGGAAAAGAAACUAACAAGGAUUCCCCUAGUAACGGCGAGUGAAACGGGAAUAGCCCAACUUGAAAAUCUUCCUUUGAAGAAUUGUAGUCUAGAGAAGCGCCCUCUGCGGCGGCCGGAGCCCAAGUUCGCUGGAAGGCGGCGUCAGAGAGGGUGAGAACCCCGUCGGCUCUAGGUUUAGCUGCUCCACGAGGUGCUUUCGAAGAGUCGUAUUGUUUGGGAAUGCAGUACAAAAUGGGAGGUAAAUCCCUUCUAAGGCUAAAUACUGACGAGAGACCGAUAGCGAACAAGUACCGUG
rnacentral:rRNA from 1 species